rnacentral:ncRNA from 2 species
UUUACCUUGCGCGCCCGAGGUGUCUGAUGGGUAAUCGCUCUUUAACCAGAGCAAGCCAGGAUCAGAGUCAAUGGGAAGUCGGUGCGUAUCGCCUGCGUUAUUAACGGCGAUGCAAUCCCGACACUGCCCCCGCAACGGUGUAUUUGCGCUGUGUUAAUCCCGCGUGAAUGAGUCCGAUACCAGCCUCAAACCGGAGCAUUUG